rnacentral:SRP_RNA from 1 species
GCUGGGCCUGUGGCAUGUUCCCAUAGUCCCAGUUGUUACUGUAGAGGUUGAGGCAGAAGGAUCCCUUGAGGGCAAAAGUUAUGGGCUGUAGGACACUGUGCCAACUGGAUGUCACACUAAAUUGGUCUUCAAUGUGGUGAACUCCUGGCAGCAGGGAAGCCACCACAUUGCCUAAGGAGGGGAGAGCUGGCCCCAGCUGGAAGCAGAGCAAGUCAAAACUCCCAUGCUGACCAGUAGUGGGAUUGCAUCUGUGAGCGGCCAUUGCAUUGCAGCCUGGGCAACAUAAGGAGACUCUGCCUCUA